rnacentral:rRNA from 1 species
UACUCCUACGGAGGCAGCAGUAGGGAAUCUUCCACAAUGGACGAAAGUCUGAUGGAGCAACGCCGCGUGAGUGAAGAAGGUUUUAGGAUCGUAAAACUCUGUUGUUGGAGAAGAACAGGGACUAGAGUAACUGUUAGUCCUUUGACGGUAUCCAACCAGAAAGCCACGGCUAACUACGUGCCAGCAGCCGCGGUAAUAC